UACGUAGGGUCCGAGCGUUGUCCGGAAUUACUGGGCGUAAAGAGCUCGUAGGUGGUUUGUCGCGUUGUUCGUGAAAACUCACAGCUCAACUGUGGGCGUGCGGGCGAUACGGGCAGACUAGAGUACUGCAGGGAGACUGGAAUUCCUGGUGUAGCGGUGGAAUGCGCAGAUAUCAGGAGGAACACCGGUGGCGAAGGCGGGUCUCUGGGCAGUAACUGACGCUGAGGAGCGAAAGCGUGGGGAGCGAACAGG
rnacentral:rRNA from 1 species